rnacentral:misc_RNA from 1 species
UACAGCAGUACCAUUAGCCACAGGAUCAUAAAGUACCAAUUGCUUUGAAGCAUUUUCAACAGACGGGUCAUCCGUAUCCUCUGUGUCAUGAGAGUCAUCUUCCUCAGAUGAAGAAACUUCUAUAGGCCCUUGAAGAGUUCUAUCUUGAUGACCAGCAAAACUUGAACUGGUGUAGUCAUUUGUUUCUUUUUUCACCAUAAAGGAAGCAUCUCCAGAAUGUGACUGCAUCUUUACAGAUCUCAACCACCAGCAGUGUAGUGUGGCUACCGAUGAUAAUAACCAGCUCAAUGAAACCUGGAUCGGUGGCGAGGGAUGACCAGCUAGAGAAUGUACGGGGGAGGGAGAGAAGAGAACGUGGAAUGGUGUAAAGGGCAGAGAAGGCUGGUGGGUGCUGAUCGAUGAGAUUGACAAAGAAGGAAGAAC